UUCUGGGCAAGUCACAAGGAGUACGCACCAGGGGUUGAAAUACAAGCUUCUGCCUCACAACUGCCAACUUGGCCGCACUGAGUCACAUGUUGAUUCCCACCUAAAGACAAGUCCCGAGCAGGCUGGCGUCUGACAGAUAGAGCCGCUCGCCCGUUUACUCCGGUGCUAAUCACAGGCGUGUUUACAGGAAAAUGCCCUCAUCUGCUUCCAGCAGCUCCAGCCACUCAGCCAUGUGAGAGCUGUCUUCAAAGUCAAUUGCCUGUCAUUUUGCUGAUUUAUGUUGAGCAACUGCAAGGCCCCCUCGAGACUUUGGCUGGAAACGGAUUCCAGCGGUCUUUAAAAUCGUGAUCACACAUGCCGUUUCCCAGGAAAUACUGAUGACGGGGGCUGGACAGGAACUAUCAGAUAAGAGGAGAGGAACCUACAAGCCACCCCCAUCCUUCCUGCCUGGCUUCUUCACAUUUCAACCAGCAGAAUCUGAUUUCUUCCCAAUAACUUGCCCUCUAACAGAAGUUUUCUUUUGAAAAUAAAUCUAUUACUGAAAAGGGUGACCUAUUAAAUAACAAACCCAUUA